CCCCUCCCUCCGUACAACCGUCAACGUUUUGGAUUAGCCAAAUGAAACACCUAUCUUCUCUCAAUCACAAAAUUAAACCCUACUUUGCUCUUUCUCUAAACUCUCCUCUCUCAAUCACCGAUGAAACUCUGCCUCUCAUUCCUUCGCGCUAUCAAUCUUUCGAAGUUCCGGCAAUCUUCCUUCAAGGUUGUCUCAGGUAUUUCUGCGAGCUCAGAAUUGGAAUUUUUUCAUCAAUUCCAUCCAAAAUGUUGUUCUUAAUAACACAACCUGUUUCAAAUUACCCUAAUAGAUUCGACAUGUAUUGUGCGUUAAUAGUAGAUAUAAACUAAGUGCUAGACCCACCACAAAAUCAACUUUGACUGUGACAUAUUUUCAUAAGAAUUUUGAUAGAACUUUCUCUGAAAUAUAGACUAAAACCAUAUGAAAUAUAAUAAUAUUUUCCCAACAUAUACAUGUAAUUUGAAAUAGAGUACACCUGCUCUUUCAAAUAUAAACCAUUGAAAUUUUUGAAGACUUUGAUGGGCUUUUUUAAGUAAUGAUUUCUACGGACUUUCGUGGAUCUUUUAUAAAUUUGUAUGAAAUUAGUGAAAAUUUUUGGUACACUUCUAUUGACUUUCAAUUUAAAAUUUUAUAAACUUUUGUAUACUUAAAAUGUUUAUUGAAGAUUUUCAUUUGAAAUAGAAUUCAUGUAAAUCUAGUCCAAUGGUUUGAAUUCUCGCAUAUGAGAUGUUGGUUCCCACAAUUCACCUUUUCCUUCCAUUUCUUCUUCUAAUAUAAUUUUUAAAAAAAUUAGAAGAAUAAAAAUUUAAGACAUUAAUUAAAUAAAUAAAUAAUCAAUAUUAUAGAUAUAUAUGAUAAACACUAAAUUUUGGAUUCAAUAUUAUUAAUAUAAUAUACUUUUAAAAAUAAAUAAAAUCAAUAUAUUUAAAUUUAAUUAUAAAUUUUUCAUAUAAAAUUUUAUACUUUAAUAAAAAGUAGAUAUUUUCACAAAAAAAGAAUGAAAAAGGAAAAAAAAAAGUUACAAGAAUCCAAUUUAAUUUUUUUUUAUAUAGAAAAUAGAAAUAAACAAUAAGAGAGAGAAAAACAAAUGGAAAUAAAUAUAAUCAAUAGAAAAAAAGGAAAUAAAGAUUAAAAAAUAUUUUUUUUUUGUGUGAAAGUCUCCCAAAAUCUUGGUAUUAAUGAGAGACAAAUUUCGAGAUUUUAUAUGAAUAAUUCCUGUUUAACAAUUAGUACUCUGGAUGCUUUUAUAAAUGUAUCUAGAAGUCAUUAAAAUGUGAAGACCCCAGGACUUAUAAAAACCUUUAAAAAGUUUUAAUUGAAUACGCCAUAACUUUUAGAAACUUUUUAAAAUUAUAAAAAAGUCUCAAAUCAAUUGAAUAUAUUGUAACUUUUAAAGAUUUCUUAAAAAUCUAUAAAAGUCUCAAUUGAAUACAUCAAUACUUUUAAAAAGUCCUAAAAAGUCCCAAUUGAAUGCUUCUAAACUUUUUAAAUCCAAAAAAAGUCAUUAAAAGUAUUAAUUGAAUGCAUCUUCUAAAUUUCCAACACAUUCAAAACUUACUAAAUAUGAAAUAAGCCCAUGAUAUGAAUACAUUUUUGGACAAGAGAUGUAUAUAUUCCAAUAUAUGAACUAAAUAAACUAACAAAACGAGUUAUACAAGUAAUGAUAAUGUGUGGCUCAACUUGGCAGAUCAUUAAGCUCCAACGCUGUUCAACUCGACUACUAUCCGGUAAAAAAAAAUGGAUGACAAAAUUUAUGAGUUUGUAAUUCAGUGAGUGGAUAUUUCACAAAUAAGUAUACUUUUUCUAUUUAAACAACCUUCUUGAAAAUACUUAUGCUAUUAAAAGUUUGAGAAAGUCCAAAGCCUAAUAACUCUUUUAAGAUUAAAACGUAAUGGAAUCAUACAAUUCUUUACCCUUUAUUUUGAAUAAAUCACUGUAAGGUAUAAUCAAUAUAAUAAAUCUGACAUCCAUACUAUGAGUAAAAAUAUCAUUUUCACGGUAUUAUAAGUUGGAUCUUUAUUCUAUAAAUUAAAUAAACUAAAUUCUGUAAUCUGAUAAGUUGUAUAAUACUAAAAAUCACACUAAAGAUGUACCUAGAAUAACUAUACUCAUGUACCGAUUAAUCUCGAAGUACAUGACAAGGUUAUUCAAUUAUGAAAUUCUAUAAUUCUGAGAUUCUGUAAUUCUGGUUAUACGCACGCACAACAGUCCAAAGGCUAUAAUUUGGUCACACACUAUUGAAACACAUUCACAAUAGUGCGGAAUGGGUAAAAUCACCAUAACUGAUCAUACACCGUGGAAAUAAAUUCAUACCAAUGCAGAGUGUGUAAAAUAAUUACAUGGGAUCAUACGCUGUGGAAACAUAUUUACACAAGUGUAGAUUAGGAAAAAAUCACCUGAGUACUUGUUGGUGGUUUUAAAAAAAUAACUUUAAAUAUUCUAAAAUAUCUGAUACUCAUAUAAUGUGUUAAUAAAAUUAUUUAACUAAACCAAAUUUAACUUUAAUAAGAAUUAUCUAUGAAAUUCACUUUAUUCUGAAAAUCAUGCUGUCAAAUCAAUUGUAUGAAAUAAUAAAUUUUCUAGUAUAAUAUAAAUUUAAUAAAUAUUAAUUUCUGAAAAAUAAGUUUUUAUCCACUCACAGAUCCAUGAAUAGAAUCUGGCUAAAUUGAAGAGACUUUCCAAACUUUCACGUCAUUACUUGAAAUAACGAUAUAAUUACUCAAAUGUAAGUCCACUAAGUAAUUCCACCACUUCUAUAUUUAUUCUUGAAUCUCCAUUUCCCUAACUUUUCUUCUUUUUUAUUUUUACCAACCCAUCACUGCACAUAAUCAAAUCUAUAAGAACCCCAUACUUUCUUAAAACCACUACCUUAUACAUACACAAUUUAAUCCAAUACAUAGACUUCAAUAUUCAUCAUUUAGUUUUUUCAUCCAAACCUUUUAAAUUUGAGAAAACAAAGGUUUGACAAAAACAGCACUACUAUUCUAGAGUAUUAAAUUCUGGCACCUAUUUCUGUUUAUUGAAAACUGCCGCCGAAGCCAUUGACAGAAAUAGCACUUUUUGGGCAGAAUUUCAAAAUAGCACUUAUGCAUUAAUUUUGCCCCAAAAAUUAAUUUAAAUUACCAAAAUUCAACCUUAACUCCAUAUUUCAUUGUAAUGCAUCAUAAAUCAAGUGCUUAUAUCAAAUAAAUAUAAUAAAUCUAAGGUAUGAAUAUAUAAUUUACAACCAAUUUCAUAUUUUUUCUUCUUCAACAUCUAUCUUCCAAUUUACAUUAUUCUUACUGUCUAAUAUUUUAAAUACAUAUCAAUUGCCUUUAAUUCUUGCUAAACUUCAAUUAUAAGCAAUUUCCACAAUCCCUAGAAAUUUAAUUAUAAUGUUUUCACUUAGCUCUUGAAUAUAAGGAGGAAUUGAGAAUCUAAACUUAAAAAAUGGGCACCUACCUCUUCCUUCUUCUUUCCUCUUUCUUUUCUUUCCUUUUCUCUACCUCUUUCUCGAUUUCUCUCCAAGGAAAUGAAAAAAAAGGGUUUUUUUUUUUUUUUUUAUCAAUUUAACAAUUGGAUACAAUGAAAUUAUUAAUAAUUAGGCCCUCAACUUUGCAACCUAUAUGUUUUCAUUAAAUUUAGAACUUACCUAUUUGUUCUUAUACUCACAAAUUAACCUCAACAAGUAUCACUUGCUUAUACAAGUCCUCAUGAAAUUAUUUUACAUAAUUUAAGUUCUCGUUUGACUCUUGACUUUGAUCAAUAGAAUUUUUGACUUUGACUAUAAUGAAUGAGGUGUAAUACUUAAAAUCAACAGCAUUUGUGUUCACGUAUCAAAUAAUUAGAUUUUUGGAAAGGAGGAGUCAAAUGCUGGAAUUAAGGAUCUAGGCCGACGAAUUAAAGUGAGCAUACUCUUUGUAUAGUUGAAAUUUUUUAAACAAGCCAUUUUGGAGUAAAAAUAAACUGGAACCUGGCUGAAGAAUAUUGAAGAUUGGUGCUUUGAUGGCUAAUUAAUAUCUAUGGAUUUACUAUUAAAGUUUGAAGAUGUGCCUUUUUUUUCCUCUAAAAAUUUUGUUGAAAAAAUAAAAACAGGAAUAGCAAUAGAUGAGAUUGACCCUAAUUCUAUUAAUCUCGGUGUCGAUUUGAAUUCUGGUCUUGGAGUAUUUGAUGCUCUCUUGCGAGUUUUUCUCUGAUUCUUGUGAGCGAGGUUAGUGAAUGCAUUUCUUAAGUAUAGCAUUCUACGAAAUUUAACUUAUUGAGAACUGAUCAUAGUCUAAUGAGAUAACAUAGUGUCGGGUAUUUAACUGUUUCGGCUCGAUUUUAAAUUGUGGAGUACAUACUUUGGCUUAUAAAAUCAAUCUACUUUCAGGCAAAGAAUAAAUUUUGUUGGGAGCUUCCAUCGGUUAUUCCUUGAAUAUUGUCUAAUGAUGGUUUUGCUUUUAGAUUGAAGAUGAGACUUUUAUAAUAGCAGCUUUCAUGGCAACGUGUCAUCUCCAAGUCAAUUGUUCUAUCCAGUGCACUGAGUGCGUUGUUUGUGAUGUCAGCAAGUCAAUUUCUUUCCUUUUGUUUUAAAUGAAGCUUAUUCUUCCUUCUAAGCUCCAUUUUGAAUAUAAUAUACCUGUUUAGAAAUCAUUCUAGUGUCCUAUGUCUUCAGUUCUCAAAACUAUUGUCUUCGGAUUAUGCUGAUGCUGGACUUGUUGGACAUGUGAAUUAGGCGCUUUUGCCCGGUCUUUGGUAGGAUUUUACCAAAUUUAAUAUCAAGAAAGCAUACAAACAGUGGAGCUAUCGGUUGGUGAUUUAUGCUAUUUUUAGUGGUUCACGCAUAACAUUCUUCCGUUCUUUAUUAUCGUGCAUUUUAUGGAUAAUGCUAUCAAAUGAGUCG
rnacentral:lncRNA from 1 species